GCUGAAAGGCAACAUUUCUGGACAUUUUACAGUUUAUGCAAUAUUUAUCUCGGAAAAAAACCAGGAAAACAGUGCACUGUCCAAGAAACUGCAUAUAGAGUUUACUGUAAUAGUGAACUCACCUAGCAACAAUUCAUAUGAUACUUUGGAAGAGAAAAUUAAAACUAUCUUAAAGAAUAACAACUCAUUUGCAGGAGUCAGUAUUAGCCCGUCGACGUUACAGGCCAACAUUUUUAAACCUUCUGAAGGGGGAGUUUGCAACGUGCCUGGAUAUACAGAAUGUGACCCCCUGACUACUUAUUGCAAAAACGAGGAACCGAUACAAUAUGAUAAUCCAAAAUCAUACUACAGCUGUCAAUGCU